GACGAACGCUGGCGGCGUGCCUAAUACAUGCAAGUAGAACGCUGAAGGAGGAGCUUGCUUCUCUGGAUGAGUUGCGAACGGGUGAGUAACGCGUAGGUAACCUGCCGGGUAGCGGGGGAUAACUAUUGGAAACGAUAGCUAAUACCGCAUAAUAUUGACUAUUGCAUGAUAGUCAGUUGAAAGGUGCAACUGCACCACUACCAGAUGGACCUGCGUUGUAUUAGCUAGUUGGUGGGGUAACGGCUCACCAAGGCGACGAUACAUAGCCGACCUGAGAGGGUGAGCGGCCACACUGGGACUGAGACACGGCCCAGAAUCCUACGGGAGGCAGCAGUAGGGAAUCUUCGGCAAUGGAAGGAAGUCUGACCGAGCAACGCCGCGUGAGUGAAGAAGGUAUUCGGAUCGUAAAGCUCUGUUGUAAGAGAAGAACGAGUGUGAGAGUGGAAAGCUCACACUGUGACGGUAUCUUACCAGAAAGGGACGGCUAACUACGUG
rnacentral:rRNA from 1 species